GUUUAUCGCCCCGGAGCUCCGCGCUGCCCUCGGUGUCCUCCGCGACAGCGCUGUCGCCGGCUCCAGAGAGAGCAUGCCUCCGUGAGCCAGCGCCCUGCGUGACUAGAAGGUGCUUAAUUAAGAGCCUAGGGCUCCCUGACCAUAGUAAUUGUGUACAAGUGUAGAACAACAGCUUCCAGCUGGUUGUCAGGCAUGCAGAAGUGUUCAUGCACUGGUUGGAUGGGUGGAAAACACUGGCUGUACGUGGCAUGUCUGCUGUCAGGGCAUCGGGCUAUGUGUUAACUCUCACAGUAAAAACAGUGGAGGAAAUCAAGUCAUCAAGACUAUUGUGAUCAUUGUAGAUGAUCACACCUGGUGGAGCAUGCAGAUGAAGCUGACCGGUCUCAUUUAGCUCCUAAAUCAGGAAUUACAAGAUUCUCCUAGUCAGAAAUACAAGUCAGAAAUAGCAUGGAUGUUGCUUAACAGCAAUUUUCAAAUUCCCUUUCUUCAGGAAAAUCUCUCCUUUUCCCCUGCUUCAUUAUGUUGUUUUGCACAUUACUUGUAGACACUGCUCACUUAGCUAUUGUCAAUGCCUGUGUCAAUUUAGAGAGCAUAUAAGAAAUAAUUCCAUCAAGAAUAAGCCUGGUCACAAAGAGCCUGUAGUCACACAGGGAUAUGUGUGCUUCUGGGACUGUGCUGAGGUUGAACUGGAGACUCACUCUCCAGUGCAGAAUUUGAGGAGUGCCAGUAGAGGUCAACAGUUGUAAAUGUAUGAAAGCAUGUAUGUAUCCUUUUGGAUACAUACAGUAACAAAAUCUGGAAUCUCGCAGACCUGAUUGCUGUUCAGGGAAGAUUUGGGUGACAUAAAGUCAGUUAUCAACUCACUGUAAUUUCUGUACUCAUUAAAAGUACCUCACAGGGAAGGCAGAACUGGAAGUUACUGGUAGAUGCCAGACAAUUUCAUGUGAGGAAUGAGAAGCUGUUUUUCAGAGGGUUAAUGCCUGUGCCCCUAGGGAAGCACGGACUGGGAUCGAUGCAGGUGUUCCACAGCUGAGGACAUACAGCUUGGACUUGACAGUCCCCUCCGGCUGUAAAUCUACGAGUGCAUUUAGUACCUGAUUCUUUGGGCAUGGUUUCUGCUUGGUAAUUUUAUUACCUCCUCCCAGGAAUUUCAGCCAGGAUGUUCAGGUCACAUCUGGUCUGUAAUUCCCCCAUGAAGUACCGUAACAACAGGGGUUACUAGGCAGCCAAGCCAUGAAGUCUCUUUUUUCUGAGGAGACAAUAACUGUCAGUGCCACAUGGAAGCUUUGUGGCUUGGCGGGAUGCUGACACAGUCCUGAGAGCCAGAAAACCAAGAGCUGAUGUUUGCACAGUUGCCUUCAUGAUCCCCACAGCAUUUCAGCCAUUUUCAACGCAGAAGAAAACACUCUUCGGGAUCAGAACUUCUGUCUUUUUUUUUCUAUUGUGCUGAGCAGCAGACAGCUGGUGUCCUGUCUGGAUAAUAAAUGGAACCCAUGGAUAUGGUACAAUC